rnacentral:rRNA from 1 species
GACGAACGCUGGCGGCGUGCCUAAUACAUGCAAGUCGAGCGGGGAUUGGUGAAGUGCUUGCACGGAUUCAAUUCUAGCGGCGGACGGGUGAGUAACGCGUGAACAAUCUGUCCCAGACAGGGGGAUAACACUUGGAAACAGGUGCUAAUACCGCAUAAGACCACGAGGAGACAUCUUCUUGGGGUAAAAGAUUUAUCGGUUUGGGGUGAGUUCGCGUCCGAUUAGCUAGUUGGUGAGGUAACGGCCCACCAAGGCGACGAUCGGUAGCCGACCUGAGAGGGUGAUCGGCCACAUUGGAACUGAGACACGGUCCAA